GUUGAAUGCUAGGAGUCACUGGCACGUUGGCGGUCAGCUAAAUCGAAAAGGGGCGAACGAACCGACAUAAACUUCAUCGAACAAUUCGCGAGAUGUCCGAAUGAAGGUGCGGAUGUAAAUAAAGAUGGAGUUUGGCAGAUGUUUAUACCAGAAUGACGAAAUUGAGAAUUCCAAGGAUCAAGCAUGAGAAUAAAAUAACAGGAAACCUGUAUACGAACCGGAUACCGACAACCUUGAUGUACC